rnacentral:lncRNA from 1 species
UGGUAACAGAACCUUCUUCAAAAAGGUCUAAAGGGUAAGCUACAUAAGCAAUAUAUUGAUCUUUUUCUCCAACAACACGCUCGAUGCGGUAGCAUCGCCUUUUGUAACGAUCAAGGCUGGUAAGUCCAUCGAUCCAUACAGUUGUCCAUGUACCAGUAGAAGAUUCGGCAGCUACCGCGGCCCCUGCUUCUUCAGGUGGAACUCCAGGUUGAGGAGUUACUCGAAAUGCUGCCAAUAUAUCAGUAUCCUUGAUUUGGUACUCAGGAGUAUAAUAAGUCAAUUUGUACUCUUUAACACCAGCUUUGAAUCCAACACUUGCUUUAGUCUCUACUUAGCUUUAUUUUUUUCUCUUAUCUGAAGGGCCAACACAUGCAUCAUUUCGAUUAGUUGGGUUAACUUCAUCAACAAGAGUAGUGGGUAUAUCAUCAUCCGAUUGCGUUUCAUCUAAAUCUAUCUUCUGCUCAUCUUCUUCAUCAAUAGUUGGAUUACCAUAAAGAGAAUUCAUAUAUUCAUGAUCUAAGUGUUCACCACCUCCAAAAAUAUGCACAUAUCAACUCUUAGUAAAUUAUAAUAAAGUAUUAUCACUAUCAAGAAUAUGAGCAGGUGUAGGGUGGGUAUGGGGUUUGGGUAGGAGAAUCCAGGGAAUUAGAGGAGGAAUAGAUUGGCCACUAAAUUCACCACUCUUGAAUUUUUCUUAUUUUUACUAAAUAUUUUUUAAGCAAUAUGCCAUCUUAAUUAUAAUUAUACUAAGUAAAUAAAACAAACAAAACUAUAAUAUUAAAACUAAAGAGUUGGAACGAGUUUACCGAAUUGACAAAUAAUUUGUUGAAAACUAAAAUCGUCGAAGACUUGAAAACUUGAAUACUUCAAUUCACCAACUUCACAACUUUUCACACAAAUUGCAAUAACAAAAUAACCAAAUUUUAAAGAAAAUUAGAGAGAGAUUGAUGAUUUUGUGAGAAAAAUAAAAGGAUGAAGGGGUAUUUAUAGUUGAAAAUAGAGUAAAAGUAUAUUUUUAAAAAGUUUCGGGUUAAAACAAAGUUUGGAGGGAGGGGGUGGACACAAACGACCAUUUUUGCAAGUCAAACGAUCAUAUUUUAAAUGACCCAAUUGUCAAAUAUUUUUGUGGAUUUUUUUUUCAAAAAAUGUAGCUGUUGGGCCCGUUUGAGACCGGUUGAAUCGGCCUACUUAGGACCCCGUCCAGGGCCCAAACGGUCCCAGUCCUAACGGGCUCCUUCAAUGAACCUGCCUACUUGGGGUUGCACCUCCCCUGGUCCCGAGCUUAAACGGUUAGGCCUUUUUAGGCACACUAUCCAUAUGGGCUCGCGGGCCUGGGCCGGGUACGGGCCUAACCGGACCACAUGCAACCUUAAUUCACGGUACCUCUCUGUGUUGAUAUAUUUUCAUAUCUGUAACACUUGUCAAAGCUAUAAAAGUUUCAAGACACGCUAAAUAUAAAUUUUAAUUUUUUUCCCUUAAAUUGUACUUAUAUUACAGAUUUAAACCUUUGUAAUUAAUUUUGAGUUACUUUUUUAUUUAUAAAUAAGUAAAUAUACAACUAGUGAAUAUUAAUAAUUUUGAUAUUAUUAAUUAUUAAAAGUGGGUAUCAUUAGUUAUUAAAUAAGUUAAAAACCAAAACAAAAAAAGGACAAAAUAACAAAAAAAGAUGGGAAUAAUCCUAAUAUCUAUACCCGAUUUUGGAGUCGCAAUUGAACCUAUACCCACUUUGCAAAAAAUUUACGAGCGUACCCACUUUACGAUCAACUUUAGACUUAUGGGUCUUAAGUUAUAAAGAAAUGUGCGCCUGAAGUGAAAAAUUGCAGUUCAAAUGCACUCAAGGCCAAAUAGAUCUGAAGUGCAACCAAUAAAUUCAUGCGCUUAAAGUUAAUAAGUUUGAAGUGAAAUUUGCGCUUCAAAUGCACUUGAGGCCAAUAAGUUUGAAGUGAAAAAUUGCACUUCAGAUGCAUUUAAGACCAAAAAAGUCUAAAGCGCAACAAACGUUUUCAUUCACUUAAGGUCAAUAAGUCUGAAAUGAAAAUUUGCACUUCAAAUGCACUUAAUGCCAAAUUGGUCUGAAGUAUAACCAAUAGUUUCAUGCACCUAAUGCGAAUAAGUCUAAAGUGAAAAAUCGCACUUCAGACAUACUUAUGGACAAAAGGUCUGAAGUGUAACAAAAGUUUUGCCACACUUAAAGCCAAUACGUUUUGAAGUGAAAAAUUACACUCAGGGGCAUCUCGAUAAAUAUGGAGGCCUAAAGCAAAAUUUUAGUGAGAGACUUUAUUUUCGUAUAUAAAAGAAAAUUUUUCAUAUGUAAUUUCAUUUAAGUUUUAUAUUUCUAGAUUUUCUUAUGCAAAGUUAUUAAUAAUUUUAUCUAAUCCAUCUAAUUUCUCUUGAGAUAUACCUUCUAAUUAAGGUUUUAUUAUUUUCUAAAGUUUUAUCAACAAUAUGUUGUGGGAUUAUAUUAAAGUUUCAAUCUUUUUUUGGAAUUACGAAUAAUAAUCGAAUUCUUUCAUAAUUUAUGGUGUAAAAAAUAAUUUCCAAUAUAUAAAAAAAAUCUCAAUUUAUGAUAAAUAAUCUAAUCUUACAUUUUUACAAUGAAAAUCUAUAGUUUCUCGUUUAAAACACUAAAUAUUCUUCUAAAAAUAAAUUAAUAUAUAAUGUAUUAGAAAAUUUUGGGAGCCCAAAAAUUAUGAGGCUUUACCCUUGGGCCGACCCUGAUUGCACACGGAUGCACUUAAGACCAAUAUAUAAUGUAUUAGAAAAUUUUGGGCCCCCAAAAAUUAUGAGGCUUUACCCUUGGGCCGACCCUGAUUGCAUUCGGAUGCACUUAAGACAAAAAAAUCUAAAAUGCAACGAACGUUUUCAUUCAUUUAAAGACUUAAGCCUUGAAACUUGGGGGGGGNNNNNNNNNNNNNNNNNNNNNNNNNNNNNNNNNNNNNNNNNNNNNNNNNNNNNNNNNNNNNNNNNNNNNNNNNNNNNNNNNNNNNNNNNNNNNNNNNNNNNNNNNNNNNNNNNNNNNNNNNNNNNNNNNNNNNNNNNNNNNNNNNNNNNNNNNNNNNNNNNNNNNNNNNNNNNNNNNNNNNNNNNNNNNNNNNNNNNNNNNNNNNNNNNNNNNNNNNNNNNNNNNNNNNNNNNNNNNNNNNNNNNNNNNNNNNNNNNNGGGGGGGGGGGGGGGGGGGAAGGUAGGGAAAAACUCCAAACAGACUUCUGUGUAUACGAAAGAGAAGUGUAUCCCUACGAAAUACCAGAAAAUUCUAGACAUUUUCACAAAUCACUAGAUCUUGAACUCAAGUAUAUACAAUUUCCUAUUCUCAAUUAUCCUACUAUAUAAAAAUUGGUUAGUUAAUUCACUUCUUCCUCUAUAUCAAUAAUAAGUUUAAUAUUUAGGUGUGAAACUUUGAAAUUAAUUAUAAUGCAUUCGUUGUCCUAGAAUCAAUUGCUUGGCGGGUAUAAAUUGGACUGGGUCUACGUAUUGUCUCAUGGAGUUUUGAGAGGUGAGUUGAUAUAACCAUUUACUAAAGUGGAUUAAGUGGUUAACUCACAAAAACACGCAUACAAGGUAUUUGAUGAAUUCCUUAAAAGUGUUAAUAUUUACUUAAUUGGAGUGAGUGAGUACAUAUUACUUUAGAAUUAUCAUAGUUAAAGUUUAGGUGAUUUAUUAUGAUAUAUGUGCUUAAAUUUUUCAUAUUUUUGUGUAUUUCUUAUAUGGCAUUUUCAUGUUAAAAAACAAUUCAUGAAAAAGAAAGAAUUUUUAGAAAUACUUUUGAAUGAUUAUUUCAUUCUUAUAUCAUGCCUUAUAUUUAAGGAUACCCCUAUGAGUAUGUAUAAAAGAUUUAGACUUGAAAAGUCACGAGAAGACGUUUUAGAAAGAAAAGAAGUUUUGGGAGUAUCCUCUAUUCUGAGAAGGGGUCCUCGUCCAGGGUGAGGGUUCUGACCAAGGAAUUGAUUUUCUGAAACUACUUGUGUCAAAGCAGGGAGCACAUAAGGCGAGGGUCUCACUGCUAAGAAUUUACUUAGCCCGACUAAGGUAUGAUAUAUGAGCGUUGAGAACCAUGAGCGAGUGACACAUCGUGGAUUGGGCCUAUUUAAUCAGGUUGGGAUCGAGCCCAUGCCGAUCACACGGUAAGUAAGACAGAAAUAAGUCAUGAUAGUUGUAACCCAUAGAGUAUAAAGUGAAGUAUUUUUUUUAAGAAAGAAAAAGAAAAAAAUUUCUUUUAAAAUAUUCAUAAACUGCUAUUAUGCAAUUAUAUUAAAAUUGUUCUUAUAAGCUUUAUGUUUUACAUGCAUUUAAAAUCUUUACUCGUAAUGUAUAUUUUAUUAAAGUUUCGUCAGAUGUCGUUGAGACUCACUGAUUACAAUAGAUGGUAGUGACAUUCUCCUCUGGGAACCUACGUUAGUCUGCGAAACAACAUAGGAGCCAGUUUUGCAGGCUAGCAGGUUACAUAUUAGGGCUUCCCUCUCUUCUAAUACUAUUGGUGAGCACUGCUUUUGUUUGUGGAGUAUUUCUUUGAGUCAUCUUAUUUAGUUAUUUUUUUUGUUUACUUUGAGAACUAGCUAGACAAUCUCAUGUCCUGAGCAGUGCGUCAGUUUAUCAGUAGAAGCUUCAUAGACAUAGUCGAUGGGUUAAGAUUCAAAUGAUUUUGAUAACAACUUAAUAAUAUUUCAGUGGUUACUACGAAUAAAGUUUUGGAGUAGGUUUAUUUUAGAUAUUCAAAUUAAUUAAAAGUAUUUGGUUAAAGUAUUCUUGUUGUUGCAUAUAAAAUUUGAGGUUAUAAAUGUUUUGAUAAGUAUACAUGGUUCGUUCGGUCAAAUCUACCAACCGGGUGCUGAUCAUGGCUUAUUCAGAAAUUGGAUCAUAACAAUGGGUGUGUUUAGUAUGAAGGAAAACAUUUUGGGGAAAAUAUUUUUUAAUUUUUCCAUGUAUGGUUGGCUUAAAUGUUUAGGAAAACAUUGUCAUUAUCAAUUUAUUUUCCUCCAAUUGGAGGAAAAUAUUUUCCUUAUCAAAAGAAGAAAAAAUAUUUUUCAAAGUUCCUUUUCAACCUUCCCCACUCUCACCCUACCCCCUCUCAAAUUUUUUUUUUAAAUUUCAGUUAUUCUAUUACCACCAACCCUACUACCGCUCCACCCACCCCCACCCCUCCGCAAAAAAAAUUAUUUUUACCUUAAUUUUUUUUGUAAUUUCAAAUUUCUAUUUUUUUUUAUUUUUCUGUUAUAAAAAACAUCUGAAUUUAAAUCCACCGAAUGUUUCUAUGAAGCAUCUACAGAUAAAUUGAUGCACUGCUCAGGACAUGAGAUUUCUUAGCUAGUUCUCUAAGUAAACAGAGAAAUAGGUAAAUAAUGACGACUCAAAGGAGUACUCUAAGAAUAAAAGCGGAGAUCACCAAUAACGUUGGAAGUGAGGGCCUAACCUGUAACCUUCUCCCUGCAAAUCCGGUUCCUAGAUUGUACUAUAGACCCAAGUAGAUUCCCAAAAGAGAUAUGAAUAUCAUCCAUUGUACUCAGUAAGUCUUUACGAUAGGAAACGAACUUUAAUAACUUAUAUAUUACGAGCAAAGACCCUAAAUGCAUGUAAAACAUCAAGCUUAUAAAAAAAAUUCUAAAAUAAUUGCAUAAUAGCAGUUUAUGAAUAUUAUAAAAGAAAUUUUUUUCUUUUUCUUUAUUAUAAAAAAAUACUUCACUUUAUACUUUGGAGUUCCAACUAUCCUGGCCUAUUUCUGUCUUAGUCAUCAUGUGAUCGGCACGAGUUCGAUCCCAACCUGAUCGAAUAGGCCCAAUCCACGAGGCGACACUCGCUUUAUGAUUCUCAGUGCUCAUGUAUCAUACCUUAACAUGACUAAGUAAAUUCUCAGCAACAAGACCCACGGCUCGUGUGCUCCCUACUUUGGCACAAGUAAUUUCAAGAAGUUAUCGUCUUGGUCAGGACCCUCGGCUUGGACGAUGACCCCUUCUCAGCAUAAAGGAUAUCCCCAAAAAUCUUUUCUUUUCUUCUUGUGACUUUUCAAGUUUAAAUCUUUUCUAAAACAUCCUAUACAUACUCAUACUGAUAUCGUUAACGGUAAAGCAUGUCAUAAAAAUGAAAUAAAUAUUCAAAAAUAUAUCUAAAAAUUCUUGCUCCUUCAUGAAUUUUCAACAUGAAAAUGGCAUAUAAGAAUAACAAAAAAAUCUGAAGAUUUAUGCAUAUGUAUCAUAAUAAAUCAUUUAAACUUUUGCUAGAACAAUUCUAAGUUAACAGGUACUCACUC